rnacentral:rRNA from 1 species
AAGCCUGUGAAGGUGUGCUGUGAGGCAUGCUGGAGGUAUCAGAAGUGCGAAUGCUGACAUAAGUAACGAUAAAGCGGGUGAAAAGCCCGCUCGCCGGAAGACCAAGGGUUCCUGUCCAACGUUAAUCGGGGCAGGGUGAGUCGACCCCUAAGGCGAGGCCGAAAGGCGUAGUCGAUGGGAAACAGGUUAAUAUUCCUGUACUUGGUGUUACUGCGAAGGGGGGACGGAGAAGGCUAUGUUGGCCGGGCGACGGUUGUCCCGGUUUAAGCGUGUAGGCUGGUUUUCCAGGCAAAUCCGGAAAACUAAGGCUGAGGCGUGAUGACGAGGCACUACGGUGCUGAAGCAACAAAUGCCCUGCUUCCAGGAAAAGCCUCUAAGCAUCAGGUAACAUCAAAUCGUACCCCAAACCGACACAGGUGGUCAGGUAGAGAAUACCAAGGCGCUUGAGAGAACUCGGGUGAAGGAACUAGGCAAAAUGGUGCCGUAACUUCGGGAGAAGGCACGCUGAUAUGUAGGUGAAGUCCCUCGCGGAUGGAGCUGAAAUCAGUCGAAGAUACCAGCUGGCUGCAACUGUUUAUUAAAAACACAGCACUGUGCAAACACGAAAGUGGACGUAUACGGUGUGACGCCUGCCCGGUGCCGGAAGGUUAAUUGAUGGGGUCAGCGCAAGCGAAGCUCUUGAUCGAAGCCCCGGUAAACGGCGGCCGUAACUAUAACGGUCCUAAGGUAGCGAAAUUCCUUGUCGGGUAAGUUCCGACCUGCACGAAUGGCGUAAUGAUGGCCAGGCUGUCUCCACCCGAGACUCAGUGAAAUUGAACUCGCUGUGAAGAUGCAGUGUACCCGCGGCAAGACGGAAAGACCCCGUGAACCUUUACUAUAGCUUGACACUGAACAUUGAGCCUUGAUGUGUAGGAUAGGUGGGAGGCUUUGAAGUGUGGACGCCAGUCUGCAUGGAGCCGACCUUGAAAUACCACCCUUUAAUGUUUGAUGUUCUAACGUUGACCCGUAAUCCGGGUUGCGGACAGUGUCUGGUGGGUAGUUUGACUGGGGCGGUCUCCUCCUAAAGAGUAACGGAGGAGCACGAAGGUUGGCUAAUCCUGGUCGGACAUCAGGAGGUUAGUGCAAUGGCAUAAGCCAGCUUGACUGCGAGCGUGACGGCGCGAGCAGGUGCGAAAGCAGGUCAUAGUGAUCCGGUGGUUCUGAAUGGAAGGGCCAUCGCUCAACGGAUAAAAGGUACUCCGGGGAUAACAGGCUGAUACCGCCCAAGAGUUCAUAUCGACGGCGGUGUUUGGCACCUCGAUGUCGGCUCAUCACAUCCUGGGGCUGAAGUAGGUCCCAAGGGUAUGGCUGUUCGCCAUUUAAAGUGGUACGCGAGCUGGGUUUAGAACGUCGUGAGACAGUUCGGUCCCUAUCUGCCGUGGGCGCUGGAGAACUGAGGGGGGCUGCUCCUAGUACGAGAGGACCGGAGUGGACGCAUCACUGGUGUUCGGGUUGUCAUGCCAAUGGCACUGCCCGGUAGCUAAAUGCGGAAGAGAUAAGUGCUGAAAGCAUCUAAGCACGAAACUUGCCCCGAGAUGAGUUCUCCCUGACUCCUUGAGAGUCCUGAAGGAACGUUGAAG